GCUUACUAGCCCAACGGCACGGAGGAACCACAAACCCCAGAAGCCCUCGCGCUCACUCGUCUCCCUCCCCUUCCCGAGCCGGAGUGCUGUUUUUGUUGUUGGUGAAAGGUGAGGGAACAGCUGAUCCGUCUGUGGGGUAUCAUAAGCUGUGCCUAGAUACAACCGAGUCAGCACAACCAGGCUGGGAGGUCAAACAUCCUGAAGGCAAGAUGGAAAGAAUCAUCACUAAGCCGGGCACCAUCCCGGGGUGGAGUCAACUUUCUGAAUGUAGCCCGGACCUACAUCCCCAACACCAAGGUGGAAUGUCACUACACCCUUCCCCCAGGCACUAUGCCCAGUGCCAGUGACUGGAUUGGCAUUUUCAAGGUAUCCUGCAACCCCUUUUGGCUUGGACCUAGUGGGCGAUGGGUUGAUUGGAAUAAGGGGAAAGACUAGCUUCUUAAGGUCUUAAGAUACUCAA